GGCGACAGGGUAUCGACGCCCUCUCUACAAUGUUCAGAAGCAUGGUUUCACCCAAACCAUGCCUCUUAGACCACCGUAUACUUGUCGAAUAAAUUACAUAUUUUUCAAAAAUAAUCAUUGUAAUAAUUAGGUGAUGAUUUGGAAAAAUUUAGAAACGCUUUUUCAUAAUUUGGAAACAAAUAGUUAUUCAGUAAUUAAUAAAAAACUGUUGGGCCGUAUACUUGGCAAACAGUGACCGAAAUUAAUAAAAUUUCACUUUAAUCGAUGUAGAACAAUUUGGAAAUAAUAGUGAGAAUGUUUUUUUCAUUUGGAAAUGUAAUAUUGCAUCGAAAAUUAAUAAAAAAGGAAUGAAGUUAUUAUUGUUCAGGAGUCACGUGACCGAGUCUUCCCCUUCCCAUCACUUAACCCAUUUACAUAUAAUAAAAGUGAGGUUAUGUCCCUCUCGCGAACAUGAAUGUUCCCCUGUCACGUACCUUUAAACAAUCUCCUGAAAAUUAUGAGUAAGUGGUUGAAUGAAAAAUUGACGACAUUUAAAAACAAAAUCACUGGACCCCUGAUAAAACAUGAAAGGAUUUAUAGAGAGGCAGACAGUGUCGGAGUGUUUCGUUGCUGAAAUCUCUAAGCAUCAGAAGCCCAAAGCCCCCAGGAAAGGAAAAUCCAUGGAGAUGAAAUACUAAAAAGAACCCUCCGAAUUCCCUAAAAUCAGAACUGAAAAAGCUGGCGAAAUCUCCGAAAAAUGAAGAGACAGAUAACAGAUAACUGGCAGGAGACGUUCGAGCUCUCCAGUGGACGAAAUGGGCUGCCACAAAAGUGCUCGGACGAAAAAGCGAGUCUUUCAGAUUUUCGAUUCCAGUUGCUGCUAGAUCUUGUGUUGAUCAGUUAAACAAAGGAUUAGGUGAUAUACGCAGCUAUGGAGAGACUCCAAAAUUAUGGGUGUACUCCGGAUCUUCUGAUCAAGACUUCUGACAAUGUUCUUAGGAAAUUAAUUCAUCCUCCCGGAGUCCAGUAUAUAUUAAGAAAAAUCUCUAAAGUCGAAUUAGCUGAAAACACUCGAGGUUCACUGAGAAUUGAAGUUUUUGUAGCCAAUAAUUCGGGGGUCCAAGUUUUCACACAAAAAUCACCUGAGAGAAUGCCGAGAUUGAACUCCGCCUCUCAGGAGCUUCAGAGGGAAACGAAGAUUUUGGGAAUGCCCAUGGCUCCAAGAGCUGACCAAAAAUGCAGUCAUCCACAACGCCCUCCCCAUCGGAGGAGAGUAUUGAUAGUCAUAGGAUGAGUGGAGUUGGAGUAAAACAAAUAACAGCAGAAAAAAAAUUGACGAAGAAGGCGCAGUUUAAGCAGGAGAGACC